AAUAAAAGAAUCGAUUCGUUUACCUUUAGUCGUAACCGUUUCGGAAUUGAGCCACCUUAAAUCGUGAGGUUUAAGAGGCUUAAAAUUGAUCGUCACAUUUUUCGAUAUGAUAUUGAGCGUACUAAGAUAUUCUUUUCAUCGCUUUAGUGAAUUAUCGGAUUAUGCAUAUUAGGCGUGACUACACAAUUAUCGUAGCAUCAUGCCCAUAACUAUUUGAUUGAA
rnacentral:misc_RNA from 1 species